rnacentral:rRNA from 1 species
UGACGAGUGGCGAACGGGUGAGUAUAUAUCGGAACGUACCUAGUAAUGGGGGAUAACUAGUCGAAAGAUUAGCUAAUACCGCAUACGCCCUAAGGGGGAAAGAGGGGGAUCGCAAGACCUCUUGUUAUUAGAGCGGCCGAUAUCUGAUUAGCUAGUUGGUGAGGUAAAGGCUCACCAAGGCUACGAUCAGUAGCUGGUCUGAGAGGACGACCAGCCACACUGGAACUGAGACACGGUCCAGACUCCUACGGGAGGCAGCAGUGGGGAAUUUUGGACAAUGGGGGCAACCCUGAUCCAGCAAUGCCGCGUGAGUGAAGAAGGCCUUCGGGUUGUAAAGCUCUUUUGUCAGGGAAGAAACGGUGAGGGCUAAUAUCCUUUGCUAAUGACGGUACCUGAAGAAUAAGCACCGGCUAACUACGUGCCAGCAGCCGCGGUAAUACGUAGGGUGCAAGCGUUAAUCGGAAUUACUGGGCGUAAAGCGUGCGCAGGCGGUUGUGCAAGACAGGUGUGAAAUCCCCGGGCUUAACCUGGGAAUGGCAUCUGUGACUGCACGGCUAGAGUGUGUCAGAGGGGGGUAGAAUUCCACGUGUAGCAGUGAAAUGCGUAGAGAUGUGGAGGAAUACCGAUGGCGAAGGCAGCCCCCUGGGAUAACACUGACGCUCAUGCACGAAAGCGUGGGGAGCAAACAGGAUUAGAUACCCUGGUAGUCCACGCCCUAAACGAUGUCUACUAGUUGUUGGGUCUUAAUUGACUUAGUAACGCAGCUAACGCGUGAAGUAGACCGCCUGGGGAGUACGGUCGCAAGAUUAAAACUCAAAGGAAUUGACGGGGACCCGCACAAGCGGUGGAUGAUGUGAUUAAUUCGAUGCAACGCGAAAACCUUACCUACCCUUGACAUGUACGAAAGCUUUGAGAGAUCAGAGUGUGCUCGAAAGAGAUCGUAA